GGAGGUACAGCUCAGUGGUAGAGCACAUGCUUAGCAUGCAGGAGGUCCUGGGUUCCAUCUCCAGUACAACCU
rnacentral:tRNA from 1 species